ensembl:lncRNA
CGCGGGUCAGGCCACACGAUCCAGGGGAUACCCGGUAACAGAAGCUGUCAUAUUUAUCGCUGGCGUCUUCAGAGCCAGCUUGAGUAGCUGGAGACAGAGCACACAAAAGGACUAUUCAGUGCAGCCCAUGGUCUGAAAUGAAACAGAUGCGCUGUGGAAGUUUGCAAACUCCCCGGCACAGAAGGUUGGCAGAUCUGCGCUCUGUAACCAGGGCCCAUCUUCUUGGCAGAGCGCUCCGCACCCCGGUGCCAGUGGCACUGCUCCUGCUGUGCAGACGAAGGGCGGUCUGGAGGACAAAGCACUCAGCUUGGCAGUUAAAGGCAGGGAGAACUAAACCAAGGCUGAGAGCCCACUCGAGCUUUUAAGCCCUCCCACCAAUUUUGGAUGCUGGUAUUUCAGGAAUUAGUACAACCAAAGGCACCUGGUCUGGUUUUACGGACUGGAACGCUCUUGGAAAGCAAUCAGAUACGAUUUGGACAAAAACAAUGGAGGCCCAGACACAGAGGCUGCCCUGGGAGAGUAUACCAGCUGUCUGCUCAGUUUCAAACCUCUAAUCAUGUUCUUGGAGAGAAAGCAAGGGGACCUGUUAGGGGUUGCCGAGCUCCGAGCUCAGGGCCAGGUCCAGGCGGCGGAGCCCGCGAGAGGGAGUCCUCCCAGCACACAGCACCUCGGACUUGAAUUUCUGGCACCCGGACAGCAGUAAAUGAGACCGAGUUUCUGAAUAUUCGCCACGGGCUGAGGACGAGGCGAGGGGAUUAAAAACGGUGGCACAAGCUAAGAUGAAAUAGUGGAAGUGGGGAGAGCAGCGGGAUGAAGGCUGGCAGCGCACAGAUGGGCAGAGCACCUGCUGGCAUGGCAUGCAUCGCUCCCAGGGAAUCCAGACUACUGGUACUGCCUCAAAGCAAAUCAAAGCCUCGGACAGAAAUAGCCAAAGCCCUGCCAUGCCCUCCUUCAACUCUUUAAAAACAUCUUUGCCCCUACUUGCAAACUACACAGGAGCAUUCAACAGCUGGCAGACUGCAAAGCCGCGCCUUCACAGAUCAUUCCAAGAGACCCUGGUGCUCUCCCCAUUGAUUUCCUUAGGCCAUGCUUUGUCUCAAUGCAACGUGUGACAUCACCUGGAGAUACCUCACUUUGCCUUCCAUUCACCCCAGUGAGAUGCAGGCAAUUACCUGAGCCCUUUGUUAGGAGUCUAAUCCUCUUGGGCCCUACAGAAGAUCAGCAGUGUUUCCAAAGGUGAUUCAGCCCACCCCAUCGGCCUCUGUGCUACUAACAUGGGUACACCAAACAUGAAGAGGUGUGAAGUCAUCCAGCUCUGUGCACACACGAUUCCUAUCUCUGUACAGGACCUCCUGUUGCUGCCACCAAGCUCCCAAACCAGCACGCCCCAUACAGAGCCCUGACACCUUGCUCUGCAGCAUGUUCAAUGCCCUGCACUGAUGCCCUGAAUCUGUUCCCUUUCUGCUGAGCCCCGGGCCCUCCCUGUCAUCACCAGGAGAGAUGGAUGCUCUCAAAGCAAUAUUCAAUCUGCCAGGAGCCUAAGUUGCCUCCUGCACCUUAUUUCUCUCCGCUGACCCAAAGGAACGCUUGGUGGAACAGAACUGUGACCCAGGACACGCAAUCUUGUGCUUCAUGUUACAGCAAAUCUACAGCUAAGAGCUUGCACAUGCAGAGUGAGAGAAUAAGAACUGCUCUGGAGUACUUGCACUAUAAAAUGCUGCACACCUGAGAGAUUUUUGGACUCCAAGUAAGCCACAAAUAUGAAGUGUGAAUGGUUUACACUGGCACCUGGUCUUCUCAGCAGCUCAAUAUGCAUAAACGAUGUUGAAGUUAACCAAAAGAACGAUCAAGGCACCAGAAAGCUAUCAUAGAAGUGAGUCCUGGUUAUGGGAACUGUAAGAAACCAAACCUUUUGAGGAGUGUGAUUCAAAUCCUGACCACCAGACUAAGGCAUAACUUCUCCUGAAGCCACCCAAGAGACAGGCUUGCACCAAUUGCAGAUCUGGUCCUGUUUGAAACGCUUUCAAAGAAACCAAACUGCAUUCGGUUUCUUAGGAACUGCCCCAGAUCUCACAUUACCAGCAUCCAAAGACAGAAAUCAAAGCACAGCAUACUUCAAGGUAUGAAUCAGCAAAAGAAUUCCUGGAUUUCUAAGAUGGAUUUGAUAAGCUGCUGUUCCCUGCACCGUUAUUAUUAUUAUUUGUAUUUUUCAGAGAUCUCAGAGUGUUCUCAGUACUUUGCAAACAAUGUCAGAAUUCACAUCAUCUUCCACGCAAAGUGCCCGUUGGGGUUAAUGCAAAAAACUGAAAGCUAUCUAAAAAGGCAGAAAAUCCAAAGCUGACUCAGUUUGUCUCAUUAUAAAGCACUUUCUGAAGCAUCCUCUCAUCAACCAUUUCCUUACUAGAAAUCAUUUGACUUGACACCAUUUUUAAAACCUUUGCAGUCUUACAGCUAUGUAAUUCCUCUCUGAAACAAGCCAACUUCAGCUGUAGCAUUUUUAACACCUUUACAUUCGUAUGCAGGCCCACAUUCAGCCCUCAGGAUGCUACUCACAGAACUCAGAGUCACUCCAGGGAAGAGGCUGACUGAUCACGGCGGUGAUUCUAUGACAUCUGCAAUGCACAGCACUGCUGCUGCCUUUGAACACAACUUCAGCCUCGCCUCAGCGAUCCCUCCUUUGUGGUGGCAUUCCCUUCUCAUCCAGCUGCCAAAAGGAGAUCUGAAAUGAACAUCAUAAACAUUGAUUUUUUUUUUCCUGCUAAGCAUCCAAAACCAUAUCCGAGAUAAACAAACAAAGCAAAACACUUGGCCCGAACCAUAUCCUGGCUCCAAACAAAUCUGGAUAAGAAAUUUGUGGUUGAGAUCUGUUCAUAUUAAACCCAGUGAAGUAAAUAUAUCUCACAUGUGGCCAUUUCUGUGAUUCCAGAGACCCAAAGUAUUCUGUGGCUUGGUUAACAUCCUUUGCCAUCAUUCUGGAUGUGACUCGUGGGUAGGUCUGUGCCAUAGGGCCAGGGAUACCCCAGUUGUGUCUGAGAGCACUAACCCAGACCCAGAGACACCAAGCAGCAUGGAGGAAGAUGUAGGUAUUACAUGGGCAGUCUAAUUUCUGGAAUCAGAGCAUCUCUGUGACCCUGCGCCAGAACUAGCUUGGGAUCUAAUCCGCCCCAGGAACAUGCCCCUUAGGCCUGGGCACAUCUCACUUACCUUUAGGAACCUGCCUGAAGUGCCUCAGGUGAGAGACAUCCCCAAGGCACUCAUGCAAUCAACAGCCAGAGGUACCUUUGGAGAUGCCAAUCUCUCGCAUUAGCUACAACGCCUUAGGGCAGUUCAAGCCCAAUGAUCUAAGCCAGCCAGUGCCUCAGAUCCAGCUUUCCUUUGUGCUCUGCUAUCCUGGCAGUUGUUUGGCUCCUGCCCAGAAAUGGAGCACCUUGGGGAUCUCGCAUCACAGCCCAAGCUUUCCAAAUAGCAUUAUCUGCAAAGCCGUAAGGAUGUACGUGGAUCAUCAGUUCUCAUACAGAGCAUCUUUCCUUCCCAUUGAUUUUCCAUCACUGCUCUAACUUCCAGGAAACACAAGGGAUUUCCUGUGGCACGUGGGACUCGAUGGCAGGACACUGCUAAAGCCAAAGACGAUGAGAGGCUGCAGAGCUCCAAAUGUGCUGCACCUUGUGCUCGCAGCUUCCACCGAGUUCAACUUUUGCCUAAAAAGAACUAAUUAACACCGGACAGCCCCGCAGCAAUUCCUCAUCUGCUCUGGAGCAGAGGAGCCCAUCACUAUGGUGAUACAACAUUAAAGGGCUGGGUCCAAAAUGCUUUUCUGGCAGGAAGACGCACGCACCAGGCCAGAAUCGGGGAUGCCAGGCGAGCUGCUUGUAACUCUGGAGGAGAUGCUCCAGGCUUACCCCAGUGUCACUGAGAUUAGCCCUGGCCCGCGGCCUUUGAGGACAGCUCCAUCCCGGCAGGCAGAUGGCUCGCCUUCUAAUUUGGAGGGGCUGAAUGACUUUCCAAACCUUUGAUUCCUGACUGAUGUAUUCACUUCAGGAGACACAAAAGUACAAAAUCUCAGCAUGGAGUGACUCCCGUGCUUUCUUUUUCCUUCCCUCCCACCCCCCCCUCGCCUUGUCUUUUCUUUUCUUCUCUCCCUGGACAGUUUUAUAAUUUUGGCAUGCAGCCAGAAUGUCUGUCCUUAUUAGCUUGGGCAGGCUGUGAAACACCUGCAGCCCAUUAUAGGCGGGGAGAGGGGAGGGGGGGGGGAAUGAAAAAAAGUCAACUGUCAUAGGUAAAGUAAUGACCAUUCAUUUCUUUGUUUUAACGCGCUAAAGGCACAUUCGAGAAGGGAAGGCAAAAAUGACGCAGCUUCCCCAUCGUGCCUACCAUUGACUGGACUCAACUGAAGACACUGGGUCAUAUUUUUAUCUGAUAAGUGGUUCCAAUAAGCAGUUAUACCUUCACACCAGUAAGGAUCCCAGUUUAUUCAAUGUGACAAGCGCCUGGUGCAUUUGAAUAGUGUCUUGUGCACCUUUUUUUAAUUUAUGUCUUUAUUAUGACCUAAAUAGGCAUUAGGAAGAAACUUCCCUCUGGGCAGGUUAUAACUAGACUGCCUACUGCCAUUUCCCUCUAAUAUCCCAGCUGCAAACACUGCCAGCUCUAGCUGAGCCUCCUUAACGGCAGCACAAAAGGGGUGUGGGAAGGGAUAGAUGUGGCCAAGUCCCACCGGCCACUGCCUCUACCAGAAGGGCUGCACAUCUGGAAGAGUGACCAGGGUCCAGACAGGGACAGUACCCAGUGUAUCACCACAGGCUUUGGAGAUUGCCCUGUGGACUCAGGAAAAACUGAUCAGAUUGAAGAGAACCUCCGGGUUCGUCCUGCAAACUGCAUGUGAACUUCCCCUGAGCAGGAAAUACACACUCUUAGGAGAAGUACCAACAAGUAUCACUGGAUCCUCACUCAUGUGGGCAGACCACUGUCCUGAGAGCAGUAUGGCCACCAGAAUCAUUGCUCAGCAGUGGGACCACAGGAGCCACCCUGUGUGGGAGCUCACAGUGCUCCCUUGCAGCCCCAGAUGGGUGUCGAAGCACUGCAGGUCAGGUGCAAGGGAUGGAAGUGGUCUGCUGGGGAAUGACCACCAAUAUGGGGCUGAGGGAAUCUGAAGCCCUGGCAACAGCCAUCCAUUUACUCACCAGACAGAUUGAAAGCAUUGUACAGGACAUCCUGGAUGGACUUUUUCAAACAAUAUGCGGUUUAAUGGUGGGAUUCAUCACCACCCAAUGCUGCGGAGGCCAAAUAUAUAAACAAGUUCAAAAAUGGAUUAGCAAAACUCAUGGAAGAUAGGUCAAUCAUAGACAAUUAAAUAUGGUAGUCCGGAUGCAACUUCCAGUUCAGGAAGUUAGUCAGCCUAAUGCCUUUCCACCUCUGAUUUACUUGUAAAAAGGAAGCCUGAAAAAUUCUCCUGAUGCCAAAACUGUCCCUCGGCUCCAAGCAUUAACUACAAUCACAAUAUACUCUUUUUUAUUUGGCAGGGGGAGGGGAUUACAUUUUCGUUCAGUAAUGAUAUUACAACAUGCUAUUUAUCUCCCCCUGCAGCUCCUGGACCUCUGUGUAACCUCCCAUCUUCCUGUCCUCCUAGGAAUAUCACAAAUAAAUUAGUGAAGUCUACUGGAAGGUGAUAGCAAUCACAGAUACUGCUAAAUUCCAUUUAGCAAGGAAUAAGGAAUCCAAUCACUUAUGUACAUAGGAAAGGUCUGAGUGGAUCACACUGUUAAAACAUUCUGUCCUUCAGACUACCGGACCAGAGGAAGGUGCUGGAAAGCCAGGAUGGAAAAAAUACGAGCUGGUUUGUCCCCAAGGAAAGUUCUUUGUAACCUCAGGACAGUUAGCACUUGAUUUAUUCCCUGACACAUGCGGGCACAGAGGCUAAUUUUAUACAUAUACACUAAAUACACACAGAGUACAUCGCACACUGUGCUGCUGUGUAUCCCCAUCCCCUUUGGACCCUGUUAAACUCCCACAGGACCCAAAGAGCAGCUGACAGCACAGGUUAUCUGCUCCCUGUCCAGCUGCCCUCCUACCUGCUGCGCUUCUACCCACUGCCUCCUUUUUGAGGGUGUUUUGGGGUGUUGCUGGAGAGCAAAGGACAAGAUGACAAAUGAGCUAACACACAGCAACGGAAUGUAAGUGAGUCUCAGCUAUUUUUAAUUAAGAAGCGAUGACAGCUGACUAAAUUCCCUGACACUGCAGUUAAAGGCUCUCUGACCCAGACAUCAUUGGACACUCUCCUACGACCAAUAUAUAUGGGUCCCGACGGUGCUUCUAUUAUUGUCCCCGCCGUCUCGACAGAUGCAGGACUAACAAAAUCUAUGUCUAUUAUCAGCAUGCAAAUAGUGAGAUAAAAGUGUGAAUGCUUAUGAGCCAGAGGAGGCAGCAGGUGAGAGGAGGACAAUGAAGGUCAUUUUCAAGGGAGUGCUGAAAGUGCCAAUGUUUGGCUUUCAAUAAAUGUUCACAAGGUUUAGACAAAUUUAACUGUCAUUUUCAUUUUCGGUUGGUUAAACCAAUGAUGGAUUGACCACGAGAGAGGCAGAGAGACAGAAAGAACAGUUCCUGCUGUAAGGCAGAUAAAAGAUAAGAGGUAAGGCAGCGUGAUCUGUGGACUGACUUCUCUCAGCCCACAGAUCACAGGGAGGGCUCCACAGAGAAAGCUUAUCUUCUCAUUCCCAGACCAAAGAACCCAGCAGCCCGGUAAGGGAAUCUGGAUUUGAAGGCCAGGGAUACACCUGACUUCAUACAAGGAUUCUUUAAAAGAGCUGAGAAUACAAGGUGUCCAGCUCCCACUACCACAACAGGCUGCCUAACCUGCAGUGCAACAAUACACCAUGAAGCCCAUGCUAGGCAAGGUGUCAGCUCUGCAUUGCUUUAGCUGCCUUGGAAAGAUGUCAAGACGAAGAUACCAACCACACAAAGACAAUACAAAACUCACUCACUUACUCAGGGCUUGCACGGGCAAUGAAUCCAGCAUGAGAUCACUUUACCUUGAGCUCACUAGUUGGUUUCAACAGGACAGACAAAGAAAAGAUGCCCUUCUAUCCUCUCCAAAGGAUCAUGGAGAGAAGGGGUAAACUGGCAGACACGUCAAAGUCAAACAAAUCACGUACAAACUUGGCAUGAGCGAGACAAACACAUUAAGGAACAUCAUCAGGAACUUUCCAGUAUGGUUGCACAGUGGGAGGGGGAAAGAGAUGCUUUCUGCUGUUGCUAAGACAGUUCCCCCAGCCUUAUUCUCUCUACCAACCCAAUCGACGGGUGUUCUCCUCCCAUUGGCUCACCAGCUGCAUCGAAUGAUCAUGACAGGUUUUCGUCCUCCUCGCCCUAUUGGCUUCUGCCUAUGGCCUAUUAUCAGGGGAGAGCAAAUCAGACACGUAAUCAAUAGUUUGCGAGAAGGAACAGGGCUGCAUGAUGCUACAUUUGCAUGAAAUCUCUUGCUGCUAUGCCUCUGCAUUCAGAUAAGCACAGAUUAGCUGCAUCAGCCGCGCUCGCAGAGGUGAGCGUUGAUGGCAGACGGAUAGCAAAGCAGCACUGCAGUGAGCUGCCAAGGAAAGGCAGCACUGAACGCUCCAGUCCUGCUCUACAGAAGGUAAACCAGUGUGAAUCAAAGACCACCAGCAUCCUGCCCCAGCACCAGUCUAGAUGUAUGCAGAAAACUUUUUUUGGUCGCCCACUGAACUAGUAUUCCUGGCUUGGGUGCUCCUCAGGGCAACGAGCUACGAGAAUAACAAAAAGGUGCAUAGCAGGGGAGAGAUCUUCCCUGUAGUGAUGCCCUCUCCAGCAGGGAUGUAUGAAGAUGCUUUGUUUGAAGGCCUCCAGAAGCAUUCUGGGGUAGGCAGAGAGCAUGGAAGCACUCCACAAGGCCGCAGACAGCUUUCCUGGCCAGAUACAGGAUGGUGUGUGACAAGUCAGCCUCCAUAGCCACGCUCCUUGGUCACCACAAGGCCUGCAUGGACAUGGGAACAGUGGUUUCUUCAUCUUGCAGCCACAAAAACCCAUUAUUAGGCAGAAGAGCACAGCAGUAGUGGGAUAGUUUCCAGUCCCACCACAGCCCAGGUCAAGGCCUGGAACAAGAAGUGGCAGAUGAGUUGCAAUCGGUUUCCAACUAUAAGUAACGCUGCCUUGAACCAACAGCACACGUAUGAAACACCCGUGUAAAACAACCAGAUGUUGCCAAUGGAUUUCAAAUCAACCACAAAAUAAAACUCCUUCUUAAGGAUGGGAACCUCAGACACCAGGGGAUCAAGUGCACCACCAAGUCAAGCGCAGUUAACUAGUGAACCAGCCCCAGCCUUAAAGCUUUAAAUUCACUGACGAAAUAUCCCCAGGCAUGUUUGGACAACAGGGAACAGCAGCCCUUUGGCUAUUUUCCUUUGCCACACAGGUGACUCAGUAUCCGGACUACAGAAGAAAAACUGGUGUUUCCUUUUCUGUCCAGGACCACAAGUGACUGGCAGCAGAAGGAGCUCAGUCCAGCUUCCAGCCUGCUCCUAACAGAGGAACACACAACUAAAAGAGGCCAAGGAACCCAGCAAACCCAUCCACUGCAGUUGGACAUGUGCACAUUCAAUGUACAUACACAGUCCAUGUGCUUUCUUCCCUUUACAAUAAGCAGGUUCAUUUAGGAAGAGUUAUAACUUAGACUGUUAUAGCACAACUACGAGGCAAGACAGGAAAAUAUUCUCUGGAAAUUUCCACUGCCAACCUAUUUUUUUUUUUUUCUGGAGGAGCAGUUGGACAAAAUACAGUGGAUCAGUUAAAAAAAAAAAUCUAAGUUUUUGACCUGAAUUCAUUCAUAUUUCUGACAUCGGUGGGGAUGGUUUCUUCAACAUAAGGUGGACUUUGAAGUUAGAAGGCAGAAAGAGAAAAGAGCCCAUCUAAUAAUCAGGUUCAAACCCCUACUUGAUCUCACCCUGUAAGGACCUUGAAUUAGGUCUACAGUUACCUAUCUGGCUUCAAGUAUUUUGGGAUCUCUCUCCAGCUGAUAUGGUCUAAGUUGCAUCCUAAGGCAGAACAGGAAGAAUGCUCUGAGUUCUCAAAAACGUUCAUGACUUUGGACAAAUACAUUAUAUUCAGCUUCAAAACAACUCCGUUCUCUUUUUGAUCUUAUGUAAUAGUCUAGAUGUCUGUGUUUUGAUUCCUCCCAAUUGUGCACUCAAACUGGUACAGAGCUCCAUGAAAGAAAAUUAAUGGACUGGAAGGAAACGUACACUUUUUUCUCUCUCUAAACCAUGUGCCUCUUUCCAGAGAAGAAAAGCAUGAAAUUUAGCAACAACUGAGCUGAUAAAACAAACUCAAAUAAGAACUCCUAUCAUAAGCUAAGUCUGCUUCAGCCACUCAAGAAGAUGGUACCAAUGAAUGAAGCCUUGUAGAUCAAUAAAAACCUCUUAAAUAAAACGAGAGCUCUUUCAGACUAAUUCAAGAAGCAUCCUACAAUGAAAAAAGAUUCUGUCCCUGAUGGCCUGGGAUCAGACUUCUUUUCUCCAUACUCUUAGUGCCUACACAACGGCAUUUAUCUGGACCAAUUAGAUUCUUACCAGGAACGUGUAGGAAAUACUCCACGCAAAGGUGAAGCUGCUAUGUUACAACCUAUGUUGCUCUGACUAUUAUGGUGAUCAGUUCACUUUUGAUUGAGCACUUCAUCACCAAAAUAGGAAGGGGUUCUCCCUUACCUGGGAAUGAAUUCAGUCCUGAAUGGCCUUGUUGGUGAGUUUGCAGCAAGAAGGCAAAAAAGGAUGGAUGCGCACUUCUUCGUCUCCACCUCGCAGCAGGCAGCACAACCUAGGAUAACAACAAUGAGAAACAUAUAGAUAUAAGCCCAAUGGAUGAUCAGGCAGCAAACAUAGGGACGGGAAGGAAAUAAAACCUCUGAGCCUUUCUCGGGGAUACAGAGUGCUCAGACACCUUCUGCUAUCUGUUCAUCCCACAGCAAUACCGAGACGUUCUGUACAGCCCCAACGGCCGUACGCAGCAGUGCAGGCAAAGGAAACAAAGCUGGAGCUCAAGCAGGGGAACACUGGUGUUCACAGGUCUGCUUCCACACCCCAGUCCUGCUCAUGAUAUAUCUGUCUCUAGCUCACAGCUUGGACCUCAGGGCUUUCAGGCUGCCAUUUACCAGCAGUCCUGGUGGAGAAGGAGGAGUCAAGAAACCCGAGAGCCAUUUCUGAGCCAAAAGGUUUUGUUCAGAUUCAUUUUCAACUUUUCAUUUUGAAAUGUUUUCGUAAUUCCCAGCAUCUCUCCUUUCAGAUCUGCCUCACUUUAAAAAAUGCUGGAAUGUCACUGCUCUUCUAAUUGUUGUUCCAUAGAGAGAACUGUUUUCUGUAUGCAUUUCAGAAUUGUUACAAGAAACAAUCCAAGAAUAUAGCCAUCCUUUCUUAGUACACUGUAUAACCGUUCAUGAAGGGUUUCAACUUCUGUCUUGAUCUGCUUCUGGUUUGUUUCCCAGCUUCAUCUCAUUAGUACAAUAUCUGAAGGAGUUCAUAUUAUUAAUAAAGCCAAACCACAGGAAUACAUCUCGUAACUGCUCUAUUUCUCUGAUGCCGAAGGCUAGUAAAAGGUCUCCAAACUUCAAUUUCAUCUUUUAAUAGUUCUAUGCAAGGUAACUCAACGUUACUAGUCCCAUUUUGCUAUUAAACAGAGGCACGGAAGAGCGAUAAGAACAGUCCCAGGCCAUAAAACAAGUAGAAAAAGACAACCAAACCCUGAGUCCUGAUCCACAGCCUCCUGCUCCGUCCCAGAGGACAACAUUCUUUCCUAUGACUACUAAAAAUAUUGGGGUCUCCUGUGAAACAGACGGCAGUGCUAAUUUUUGAGGUGAAACGAGC